UCCUAGGCUGUGACUCCAUUACCGGGGUGAGGCGGUGGACACCGGAGCUGCUGAGGCUGACUGAGCAAGGAAUGCUGGGAGAUUUCACUUCUGACACCUACAGAAUUGUGAAUGCAGCUUUGGACGAAACACGCUAAAACUAAGGAUCAGGACUAGGAGAACCAAGG